GACGAACGCUGGCGGCGUGCUUAACACAUGCAAGUCGAACGGAAAGGCCCUGCUUUUGUGGGGUGCUCGAGUGGCGAACGGGGGAGUAACACGUGAGUAACCUGCCCUUGACUUUGGGAUAACUUCAGGAAACUGGGGCGAAUACCGGAUAGGAGCUCCUGCUGCAUGGUGGGGGUUGGAAAGUUUCGGCGGUUGGGGAUGGACUCGCGGGUUAUGAGCUUGUUGGUGGGGUAGGGGCUUACCAAGGCUUUGACGGGUAGCCGGCCUGAGAGGGUGACCGGCCCCCUUGGGCCUGAGAUACGGCCCAGACUCCUACGGGCGGCAGCAGUGGGGAAUCUUGCACAAUGGGCGGAAGCCUGAUGCAGCAACCCCGCGUGCGGGAUGACGGCCUUCGGGUUGUAAACCGCUUUCGCCUGUGCCGUAGCGUGCGUGACGGUAAUGGGUAAAGAAGCACCGGCUAACUACGUG
rnacentral:rRNA from 1 species